rnacentral:miRNA from 1 species
UACCCUGUAGACCCGGGCUUUUG